rnacentral:rRNA from 1 species
GAUGAACGCUGGCGGCGUGCCUAAUACAUGCAAGUCGAGCGAACGGACGAGAAGCUUGCUUCUCUGAUGUUAGCGGCGGACGGGUGAGUAACACGUGGAUAACCUACCUAUAAGACUGGGAUAACUUCGGGAAACCGGAGCUAAUACCGGAUAAUAUUUUGAACCGCAUGGUUCAACAGUGAAAGACGGUCUUGCUGUCACUUAUAGAUGGAUCCGCGCUGCAUUAGCUAGUUGGUAAGGUAACGGCUUACCAAGGCAACGAUGCAUAGCCGACCUGAGAGGUUGAUCGGCCAAACUGGAACUGAGACACGGUCCAGACUCCUACGGGAGGCAGAAGUAGGGAAUCUGGCGCAAUGGGCGAAAGCCUGACGGAGCAACGCGGCGUGAGUGAUGAAGGUCUUCGGAUCGUAAAACUCUGUUAUUAGGGAAGAACAUAUGUGUAAGUAACUGUGCACAUCUUGACGGUACCUAAGCAGAAAGCCACGGCUAACUACGU